UAGAAUUGACAAGAAUAAAAUUGUCAAAAAAAUAGGGUUUGUGCUUUUUGCGCCAACAAUUUUAAUUUUUUUUUAGUUAUUUCCGUCUACAAACUGUUGUUAAGGGUAAUAUUGUCUUUGCACAGUCAACUAACGGUCAAUGUUAAAGUUAACUGACGGUAGGGGUUUUUUUUACAAAUAAAUAAAUUCUCGUCAUCUACUUGCAACAAGCCCAAACCUCAGGGGAGGUUUUUAAAAAUUACCCAAGUUCCAAGUGCCAUCAAUCAUUUGGGGGUGUGAUUACGUGUAGCAUUGAGGAAUGAAAAUGAAAAAUAAAAAUUAUUAAUAGAGUUUAUUUGU
rnacentral:lncRNA from 1 species